UGGAACGUAGCUUAAUGGUAGAGCGGCUGCAUUAAUCAGGAAUUGACUGAAGAAGUCAAUAGCGAUGGUUCGAAUCCAUCCGUUCCGA
rnacentral:tRNA from 1 species